rnacentral:rRNA from 1 species
UACGUAGGGUGCAAGCGUUAAUCGGAAUUACUGGGCGUAAAGCGUGCGCAGGCGGUGAUGUAAGUCAGAUGUGAAAUCCCCGGGCUCAACCUGGGAACUGCAUUUGUGACUGCAUCGCUGGAGUGCGGCAGAGGGGGAUGGAAUUCCGCGUGUAGCAGUGAAAUGCGUAGAUAUCAGGAGGAAUACCGAUGGCGAAGGCAGGUCUCUGGGCUGACACUGACGCUCAUGCACGAAAGCGUGGGGAGCAAACAGG